rnacentral:rRNA from 1 species
UACAGAGGUCUCGAGCGUUGUUCGGAUUCAUUGGGCGUAAAGGGUGCGUAGGUGGCGGGGUAAGUCGGAUGUGAAAUCCCGGAGCUCAACUCCGGAACUGCAUUCGAUACUGCUUUGCUUGAGUACUGGAGAGGAGAUCGGAAUUUACGGUGUAGCAGUGAAAUGCGUAGAUAUCGUAAGGAAGACCAGUGGCGAAGGCGGAUCUCUGGACAGUUACUGACACUGAGGCACGAAGGCCAGGGGAGCAAACGGG